AGGCACAUUCCUUCUCCCUAGAACGAAUUGUAAAUAUAAAACUAAGGAAUGAUUUGAUAUAACGCUAACUUGAAAAAAGAAAAAAAAUAUAAUAAAGUUACGUCUAUGGAUAAUAGAAAAGAAAGAAGUGGUAGGAAUUUCCUGCACGAUAUAUACCAUUCUAAUAGAACAACGAUCGAAACUAUAAGAUCUUCAUGAAGUGUAGAAUAGUGCCGAAAGAGUUAACGUACCGAUGUAGUCAUUUAGUUCUUCUUAUCUAUGAUUGGAUGCCAUCAUCCUUCAUCGAAACAACACCACUUUAUUAUUACCAGCAGCCAUCACUACCGUCCUAUUCGUAGUGAGCUUUGUUCACUUCAGAAAACGAAACACGCUCGGACUCGGAGAAAGAUCGAAAUAUUAACGUCCUAGACAGGCUCAAGGUUGGUAAUCGAAACAACGCAGACAUUUACGGCCUAUCAAAACGUAACGUGUACAGAUACUUGACCUUUUGAUCUAUCGAAAUAUAUAUAUAUAUAUAUGUUCUUUCUGUGAGUAGAAUUUUAUAAGAGUGCCGAGAUGAUAACUCGUCUAGCCAUAACGUGUUGUAUAAAUAGUAAAUAGUAUUUCCACCUUUCAAAUGGAACUUUCAAUGGCUUCUACGAACGUGAGGUCCAUAAAUAAAAUUUGAUUUAUUUAUUUAUCGAUGAGUAACAGCGAGAUUUAACUCAAAGGGCAUGAUUAAUGUAAGAAGAUAUAUAGUACAUAUAAUAUAUAUCUCACUAUCUAUACCUUUUAUAUCCAACUCCGAUACUCAUAGAAAAUGAAAUAGUCGUUUUUCUAAAAAAUUCAUUUCAUGUCGUCCGAAGCGAAAGCGAGCGAAUCAUUUAAAUUCAAUAACGAAUCCGAGCAAUUGCGAUAUAAAAUACGCAAUAGCAUACGUACCAGUCCGAUCGAGUACAGCUGCUGAUAUUACAUGCGAAACGCGUACAGAUCAAUGCACGCAUUAUGCGUAUGCAAAUUAUCAUCUACCGCUAUUAGAUUAAUUAAGCAUAAUUACUGUCAUGUGUUGGCACGCGAGGCAUUCUAAUGGCCAUGCGACAAAGCUUUUCCCUCUAGCUCUCUACUUUCCAUCGAAUUUUCGACGUUCGCAUUCCGUUAAAUAAUCCCGUGUGGACUUUAUCAUUAUGCGUUUCGUUCUCCGAAACGUCGUUAUUAUAUCAUUGUGAGUUAAAAAUAAAAAGAGCCUUUAUGCCGAUUAAGGAACAUCAGGUGUAUAAUAAUCAGGCUUGUUUUGCUCUUCUAACUCGUUAAACACGUUGUUGAGGAAGACAUUCGCGACGUGUGACAUGCCACGUGCGUUGUUGCAUGCAACGAAACAAGCUCGAACACGUAUGCUUCUAAACUUCUCAUACUAGGUGAGAAUUCAUGUCACACAAUAUCGUUCUACAGUCUAUACACCGUAUAACGAAGAGCGAGAGAAUAUCGGUAUGGUAUCUAUCGGUGUGCUUUAAAAAUAAUCCUACAGACUCACAGAUAUGGAAUCUGCUCGUAACUUUUGCCGAUUGUAUCACACAACCGAUAGAAACCUUUAUGGAUGAGAAUUUUU